GGCGCGGUAGCCAAGAGGUAAGGCAGCGGUCUGCAAAACUGCUAUACGUGGGUUCGAUUCCCAUCCGCGCCU
rnacentral:tRNA from 1 species